GCCCCGGCCCGCCCCCGCCGGCGGAGCCCGGCCUCCUUCACACCUGACUCGGGCCAGCCCGGGUCCCGCGCGCGCAGAGAAGGGACCACGACGCGUCCCCGCCGAGGUUGGGCCCCUGGGGUGCGGCGGGGGAGGGCGGGCAGCUCUUCAGCCCGGGGGUGGUCGGCGAUUCCGGACAGACAGACGGACAGUGCGGACCCGCGGGGGGUGGGGCUGCCGGGGAGGGGCGGCGCCACGGGGAGCGAGCCGGCCUCCUGGUGCCGGAGCCCGGGCGGGGACGCCACACGCUCAGGCUCGGAGCCGAGCGCUGGCGGCGGCGUCCGGCCCGGAGCGCGGAGGGCGGCCGGGCAGGUGGGGCGCCUCCCGAGGGGCCGCGCCGGGAGCGGGGGCUGCGGGCACCGCCGCCGCGCCCCCCGCGCCCGCCCGCACCCGGGGCGCGCGUCCGGCCGAGCGGGGGUCGGGCGCGCGGGGACCCGGCGAUGCCGCCGCCGCCGCCGCCUCUGAGGGAGCGCCCGAGCCCGCCGCGGGGAGAGGUCGAAAUGCGCGAGCCUGAGUAUGCUGGAAGCCCGUGAGCGCCCCGACCCCCCGGCGACUGCGGCGAGGCCCUCCGGAGGAAGCGCGCUGAGCGGCGGACUCUGACUUGGGACGGCCCGGCCCUGCC
rnacentral:lncRNA from 1 species